GUUGACCUCGGAUCAGGUAGGGAUACCCGCUGAACUUAAGCAUAUCAAUAAGCGGAGGAAAAGAAACCAACAGGGAUUGCCUCAGUAACGGCGAGUGAAGCGGCAACAGCUCAAAUUUGAAAUCUGGCCCCCUGUGGUGUCCGAGUUGUAAUUUGUAGAGGAUGCUUCGGCGUUGGCCCCGGCCUAAGUUCCUUGGAACAGGACGUCACAGAGGGUGAGAAUCCCGUACGUGGCCGGUGUCCCUCGCCAUGUGAAGCUCCUUCGACGAGUCGAGUUGUUUGGGAAUGCAGCUCUAAAUGGGAGGUAUAUUUCUUCUAAAGCUAAAUACCGGCCAGAGACCGAUAGCGCACAAGUAGAGUGAUCGAAAGAUGAAAAGCACUUUGGAAAGAGAGUCAAAAAGUACGUGAAAUUGUUGAAAGGGAAGCGCUUGCAACCAGACCUGUCCGCGGUCGCUCAUCCAGGCUUCUGCCUGGUGCACUCUUCAGCGGUCAGGCCAGCAUCGGUUCGGGCGGUCAGACAAAGGCGGCGGGAAUGUGGCUCCCCUCGGGGAGUGUUAUAGCCCGCCGCAUAAUGUGGCCAGUCCGGACCGAGGUCCGCGCUUCGGCUAGGAUGCUGGCGUAAUGGUUGUAAGCGGCCCGUCUUGAAACACGGACCAAGGAGUCUAACAUCUAUGCGAGUGUUUGGGUGUCAAGCCCGGGCGCGCAAUGAAAGUGAACGGAGGCGGGAACCUUUGGGUGCACCGUCGACCGAUCCUGAUGUCUUCGGAUGGAUUUGAGUAAGAGCAUAGCUGUUGGGACCCGAAAGAUGGUGAACUAUGCCUGAAUAGGGUGAAGCCAGAGGAAACUCUGGUGGAGGCUCGCAGCGGUUCUGACGUGCAAAUCGAUCGUCAAAUUUGGGCAUAGGGGCGAAAGACUAAUCGAACUAUCUAGUAGCUGGUUCC
rnacentral:rRNA from 1 species